rnacentral:misc_RNA from 1 species
UUUCCGUAGGUGAACCUGCGGAAGGAUCAUUAAAAAUGAAGCCGGGAAACCGGUCCUUCUAACCCUUGAUUAUCUUAAUUUGUUGCUUUGGUGGGCCGCGCAAGCACCGGCUUCGGCUGGAUCGUGCCCGCCAGAGGACACAACUCUGUAUCAAAAGUCGUCUGAGUACUAUAAAAUAGUUAGAACUUUCAACAACGGAUCUCUUGGUUCUG